UACGGAGGGUGCAAGCGUUGUUCGGAUUUAUUGGGCGUAAAGCGCGUGUAGGCUGCUUGGAAAGUCGGAUGUGAAAGCCCUGGGCUCAACCUAGGAAGUGCAUUCGAAACUUCUGAGCUGGAGUGCUGGAGAGGAAGGCGGAAUUCUCGGUGUAGAGGUGAAAUUCGUAGAUAUCGAGAGGAACACCGGUGGCGAAGGCGGCCUUCUGGACAGUAACUGACGCUGAGACGCGAAAGCGUGGGGAGCAAACAGG
rnacentral:rRNA from 1 species